GAUGAACGCUGGCGGCGUGCCUAAUACAUGCAAGUCGAGCGAACGGACGAGAAGCUUGCUUUUCUGAUGUUAGCGGCGGACGGGUGAGUAACACGUGGAUAACCUACCUAUAAGACUGGGAUAACUUCGGGAAACCGGAGCUAAUACCGGAUAAUAUUUUGAACCGCAUGGUUCAAAAGUGAAAGACGGUCUUGCUGUCACUUAUAGAUGGAUCCGCGCUGCAUUAGCUAGUUGGUAAGGUAACGGCUUACCAAGGCAACGAUGCAUAGCCGACCUGAGAGGGGGAUCGGCCACACUGGAACGGAGACGCGGUCCAGGCUCCUACGGGAGGCAGCAGUAGGGAAUCUUCCGCAAUGGGCGAAAGCCUGACGGAGCAACGCCGCGUGAGUGAUGAAGGUCUUCGGAUCGUAAAACUCUGUUAUUAGGGAAGAACAUAUGUGUAAGUAACUGUGCACAUCUUGACGGUACCUAAUCAGAAAGCCACGGCUAACUACGUG
rnacentral:rRNA from 1 species